CCAUUUUAAUUUGGUCGUCAACUUUAAAUGCGGAAAAUUUUGAGAAUAAAUGGAAAGAGGAUUUUUACCCCGACCAAAACAGUACAUUAAAAAAAAAAGAAAGAAGGAAAAACAUGCAGCCAAAAUGGAAAGAGCACUUCAUUUUCUUUUGAGCUAUGAAUGGCAGUGGAUCCUCUGUAAGUCAAGUUGUAGGUGCAGGAAUUCUUCAUUUUUGUGAUAAGGAGCAGGAUUUUCUACUUCGUCUCCUAAAAAGUAUGUGUCAAUAUACAUAUAGGUAU
rnacentral:lncRNA from 1 species